rnacentral:ribozyme from 1 species
CGAAGCGGAAGAUGGCAAGACCAAAGGACAAGAACGACGAGAACGGGGUGUCACACAAGAAGCCAAGUACAAAACACAAACUUUCCUCGGAGGAAGAGAUGGAACGGUCGUUUCCCAGCGAGCAAGGAGCAG